GCCUAUGGCCAAACGAUGCUGAAUUCUCCCAAUCUUGUCUGAUUUUGGAAGCUAAGCAGGGUAGGGUCUGGUUGGUACUUGGAUGGGAGACCACCUGUAGGGCUAUAGGUU
rnacentral:rRNA from 1 species